rnacentral:rRNA from 1 species
AUUGAACGCUGGCGGCAGGCCUAACACAUGCAAGUCGAACGAGUGGCGGACGGGUGAGUAAUGUCUGGGAAACUGCCCGAUGGAGGGGGAUAACUACUGGAAACGGUAGCUAAUACCGAAUACCAUCGGAGGUGCCCAGAUGGGAGUAGCUAGUAGGUGGGGUAACGGCUUAACAAGGCGACGAUCCCUAGCUGGUCUGGGAGGAUGACACGCCAUACUGUAACUGAUCCACGGGCCAGACUCCUACGGGAGGCAGCAGUGGGGAAUAUUGCACAAUGGGCGCAAGCCUGAUGCAGCCAUGCCGCGUGUAUGAAGAAGGCCUUCGGGUUGUAAAGUACUUUCAGCGAGGAGGCGUUACUCGCAGAAGAAGCACCGGCUAACUCCGUGCCAGCAGCCGCGGUAAUAC